CCUACGGGAGGCUGCAGUAGGGAAUAUUGGGCAAUGGGCGGGAGCCUGACCCAGCCAUGCCGCGUGCAGGAAGACGGCGUUCUGCGUUGUAAACUGCUUUUACCUGGGAAGAAAAGGCCACUGCGGUGGACAUUGCCGGUACCAGGUGAAUAAGCACCGGCUAACUCCGUGCCAGCAGCCGCGGUAAUACGGAGGGUGCAAGCGUUGUCCGGAUUUAUUGGGUUUAAAGGGUGCGUAGGCGGCCCGUUAAGUCAGCGGUGAAAGUUUAUGGCUCAACCAUGAAAUUGCCGUUGAUACUGGCGGGCUUGAGUGUUGAUGGGGUACAUGGAAUUUAUGGUGUAGCGGUGAAAUGCAUAGAUACCAUAAGGAACACCGAUAGCGAAGGCAUUGUACUUAUCAACAACUGACGCUGAGGCACGAAAGCGCGGGUAGCGAACAGG
rnacentral:rRNA from 1 species